rnacentral:lncRNA from 1 species
UUUUCCCUUAGGGUAUGAAAAGGACGAGGGCCUGUUUAGGGUGUCCCUGGGUCUAUUCCUGACAAAUAGGUUUUUUUCCUUCGUUUCAGCCUGUCUGUCCUGGGAAUGAAGUGAUUUAGAGGUUGAGAGAUGUUAGUCGGGGUGGCAGACAUUACUUAAAACCAGUAGGAUUCCAUGGAUAUUCUGCAAUAUCAGCCUGUCAGCAUCUGGCUCAGGAAGGCUAUAGAGUAUAUUACAACAUGCAGAUAAGUGGAGGCCCUCAGAGGAUGGAUUCCAGCUUAUUUAAGAUAGACCUAUGAUCAUUUUCAUCAUUCUCUUCUGCAAGUUCUUCAGAACGUCUUAAAGUGUGAUGCCCCCAAAUGGAACUGCCAUUUUAAUUGAGAUCUGACUGGAAAAGAGUAAUAAGGUAAGAUUGCUUUUUUCUUAUUUCACUUAUAUUAUGUAGUAUACUAUCAAAGUUAUAUUUUCAUUUUGAAAUU